rnacentral:rRNA from 1 species
UCUACGGGAGGCAGCAGUGGGGAAUCUUCCGCAAUGGGCGAAAGCCUGACGGAGCAACGCCGCGUGCUCGAAUGAAGGCCUUCGGGUUGUAAAGAUCUGUUGACAGGGACGAAUAAGCAAUGCGAAUAGCUUUGUGUAUGACGGUACCUGUUUAGAACGCUCCGGCUAUCUACGGGCCAGCAGCCGCGGUAAUACGGAGGGAGCAAGCGUUGUCUGGAAUUACUGGGCGUAAAGGGCGCGUAGGUGGGCGCUUAAGUUGGGUGUGAAAACUCCGGGCUCAACCUGGGGACUGCAGUUGAAACUGGGUGGCUUGAGUGCAGGAGAGGAAAGUGGAAUUCGUGGUGGAGCGGUGAAAUGCGUAGAUAUUAGGAGGAACACCAGUGGCGAAGGCGACUUUCUGGACUGUACCUGACGCUGAGGCGCGAAGGCGUGGGUAGCGAACGGGAUUAGAUACCCUUGUAGUC